UGUCCGCUACUGUCCUGAGGC
rnacentral:misc_RNA from 1 species